UUGCACCUCGUGUGAGUACGUUGUCGUCGAGUGGUGGUUCUUUAUUCUAUGGAGUGGUUCUGAAAGCGCUGCUUUAGGGGCGACUGCAACCAGACGUUGCGGCAAGUUACGGUGGGAACUUCUGUCCGUGCUGUGUGAUUGCGACGAGGAGGACCGCCACCAGCAGCGGCGUGUCGCCGAUUUCGUCUUUGCCGACAUCGAGCAAGUGCAGCUCGCUGGACCGUCACAAGCGCCGGAAGUGUUGCGUUUGGCACUGCGUUUUCCUUCUGAUAUGGGAGAUCGCAACGCAGAGACGACCAGAUGCAUACGAAAGACUACCAGCGGAGAGUGACCUGUGCCAUAUUUCUCUUAACGUCUCAGGUAUUCAAGAAAUGCCAACAUUCAGAAGAAGACGCCAUCUUAUCCAGCACGUUUUGGGUGAGACAGAUCGUAGUAGGCACUUUCGCAUAUCUCAUGAGCAUAUGAUGCUAUGUGUUGUAAUUUUUGUGUCCACUUUCCUGGCCUUUAUUCAUUUCAGCAUUAUUGUGCAAAGGGUAAUAAUAUUACAUCGAGAUAGAGUAAUUGUCCAAAGGAGAGACAUGGCUGGAGGAGACGACACACAUAAGCCUCCUUUGUCCCUAUCUCUGUGUUGCGCAAUUACUCUGUCGUUAUCUACCAAGAAACCUAAGUUCUUCAUCAGCUUCAUUUACUGAUUCUCCGUUAUUACAAUUUAAUUGAUACAACAUUGAAAGUACAGAGGUACACAGGAAGACAGAGACUUGAAAUGAUGAAGAGCCGUAGAACAAGGAGCACCGCUGGAGCCAACGUUUCGACAAAGAGAAGGAGACGAGUUUUCUUGUCAAGAUAUCGGCUCCAGUAAAAUUUCUUGUUCUAUCACUAUUUACGAUUAAAAGACAGCAUUAUUGAUCUUGCUGAAGUAUUGUGCAUUAUGGAAUAAAAAUUAGCAGGGCGAAAUGUCAGGAAUAUGAAAUUUCUUGUGUAUUUUAAUGCUACAGCGAAAGCCAGAAAAACAAGAUGUAGAGAACCACAUUGUUAUUUGUCACUACCCAGUUUGGCCAGCUUCAUUCAGAGCUUCCACUUUGUUGCAUUAACGACCACUGGAAUUCAUUAACUGAAUUGCUCCGUGAUUUACUUAUGUUUAGAGAUGUUGAACUUGUUUUAAUGCAGCUUAACAUAGUGCGUGUAAAAAACAUACAAUGACAUUUUAAGAGGCUUGCAGUUGACUAGCAGAUCACUUGAUGGUAUGAGCUCAGGUUUCCACUGAUCUUCCAUGCACAAAUCGGAUGCACAUUCUUUUUUUUUCAUUGCUUGUAUUUUCAUAAACAUAAGUACCAUUUCUUCUUUGUCGACGUUCUAGUUGUGUUGUAGGACCUAACUGUUUGCAUUUAUUUGUAUUGGUAUCCAUGUUACACAGACAGCUGAAUUUUUCUUGUAAAUUGUGACAUGGUAGGACUAAGAGCAUUUGUGCAAAUUUGCUGCAGGUACAGUCUGAUGGCUCCCGCUCUGCAUCCUACCACCACCGUGUCCUGACUACGUCCACAAGGGAGUUGGCAGCCUUCGUGAUGAUGCCAAGCAGGCUGGAAGCCGACAGAAAGAUUAAGGUUGCCUCGACAUUUUACCCAAGCCGUGCCACAUACUCGGGCCAGGCCUCUUGCAAACGACGUAUAACCAGGCUCAACGCAUGAGUGUCGAGUGAGUCCGGAGAUCAAGGCAACCUGCUGUGCAACCAGCGUGCAAUCUUUGGUGACCCCUCUACAUGUUCCAGCUAUUUCACAGUUGUACCUCAUCUCCCACCUAUCAAAACAGCAUCACCAGCUGUGGUCACUCAUCGAACCAUGGAUGGGUUGGGGUGGAGUGAUUUGAAGAGACAUUCUAUUCGUCUCUUCAACUUCUUAGCAGAUGCUUGUGUUAUUAUAAUUCAUAUCUGUCUUUAGUACCUAGUUUUUAAUGGUUCCUUUCUAUUAGAAUUCUCACCAUCGAGUCCUGCUAUUAUAAUGUAUGUCUGUGUUUAUGCCUAGUUUUUCGUAGUUCUUUUGUACUUGUGUAUGUAAUUAAUAGGUUCAUAAUUCUUGUUAUACAGAAGGCUAAAAUGCAAACUUAUGGCAUUUUUUUCUUCAUUUUGACAAUCUACAGCACUGCAAAGUGUUCAAGAAAUGUAACCUAACGUGGGCUCUGGUGCAGGAAAAAUUUAAGAGCAAUAUAGGGUACUUAUUUCAAACACCCAUUAUUUUUUGAAAAGUCAAGAAUAUAGGAGCACAGAAAGGAAAAUAUUAAACUAGAGAAACAUGAGUUCCCCUCAUAAGUCUGAUAAUAAUGUGACUUCCUUUCACUGCAAAGAUACCAGUAAUACUCGCAUGCAAGGUUUGAGACACGAAAGCUAUGAUGCCCUUGGCAUUUCUCAGUGCCCAUUUGCCACACUGACGAAUGUCAAAGGCAUCGUAGAUUUCAUGCACACCUUGAUUGUGUUACACUUUUGAGUAUUGCAUUUCUCAAACAAAGGUUUACAGCAGUGCUUUAAAUAGCAAAUGCUUUUCCUAAUUUAUUAGUGCAAGAGUAACCGUACAGAUCAUUUAAAAAUUAUUUUACGGACUAUAUGUCCAUGGAUGCACGCUUCUGAUGACAUAGCAGUGACGUGGUCGUGGGAUGAAUGCCUUUAUUUCAGAUUGAAGUAUUGGCUUCCAGGUCUGGGUUAGUCUCCUACACUGAGUAGUCUAGGUCAGAGCCCAUUUACUGGAGCAAGUGAAAUAAACUAGGAAUUAUAAACAUCAAAAGAUCUUCUUUAGGACACUAAUGUGACAAUGAGCAAGAUUCUUUGGGUAUUCAUUUCCAUAUUUGUGAGGAUAUAUUUUGUGACUGGUUUCAUUAUUGUGAGAACAAAUGUUUGUGUAUUGUCACACUAGAGUUGGCUGCCCUCAUUUGUAUACAACACCUUUACAGGCUAAAAACUCAGUGUUACCCUAUUUACUCGCAUAAUGAUCGCACUCUUUUGUAAAAAAAAAUUGACUCAAAUUCAGGGGUGCGAUCAUUACGCGGGUUAAAUUCCCCGCAAAAAGAAAAAAAAAAUCAUCUGCCAUUUGCUACGGAAUGACAACAGGUCAACAAAUAGGCGGCUGCCACUGUAUGUAGUGCGGGACACACACAAAAAAAAAAAAAUGGUGCCCGGCAGAGCAAGCCGAACGCGCCGAACGCGAUUUUUUUUCUUCUCGUGAGUACAUUAGGUGCAUUCAAACAGUUUCUUCCGUAUCAGUAAUGAAUAAUAUCGGCAAGAAACAGAUCGGCGCGCUUAGCGGCCAGUGACAUAGGAACACAUGGCGGGCAUGCUGCAGAAACUGCGGCAUUUGUCUUCACCACUAUCCUAAUAUGGCACGUUUCCGCUAAGGGUGGGCGAAUAUCUUAGCUGCGUUACAAACGGCGGUGAAUGAACAAGGGUGUACUUCUAACGCAUCAGUGUAAACGUGGCUGCUAUCAUUGCCGCUCGCGAUUUGUUGCGUGCCCACGAGUGCAGACGAGAAGAAUCGAAAGACGCCUUUUUUGUUGUUUUUGUUGAUCACAACCAUUAUAAAGCCUACACAUAACCAAGGCAAGUUUGGUUGUAGCUUUUUUUUGUCAUAGAAGUGCGGAAAGUGAUGAAAGGAAUGAAAUGGGGCAUCUGCUUAAGAAUGUUUGGUGCGUGCGGACCGCUUGGUUUGUCUUGAAGAGUUGUUCGCAUAGCAGUCGACAGAUGGUAAGCACGACCAUUAUUAACUAUACUUGGCACAUGACAUGUCGCUGCGGCAAGUUCGGGGUGCAAUCAUUACACGGGAAAUAAAAAAAAUCGAAUUUUGACGACAAAAUUUAGGGGGCGAUCAUUACGCGAUUGCGAUCAUUAUGCGAGUAAAUACGGUAAUAGGCUGUUUUUGGUUUUGCGCACUCACUGUUAAGGGAUGCAAAUGGUGACAUACAACAGAAUGCAAAAAUGACUAAGGAAUGCAAGCAAGGCGUGGCGCUUUUUAGGCAGAUGCGUGCGUGUGCUAUUUAUAAAGCUCCCCAUGGUAUGCCUGAAGGCGUUUUCUAGCACUUUGGUAGAAUACACUGACACCCACUUACUGAGGGGAAACGCUCCUCGAAAAACUUUUUUAUAUAUUUGUACUAGAGAUUUGAAUAUACUGUUAUUCAUAAAGUAUUUUAUUAGAUUUGAAUUCUCAUUGAUUUUUGUGUAGCUGCUAUAUUUUAGUUAUGUCCUACACAGUGGCAAAAUAUUAUUGUGGGCACUUUCUUGUGUAUAAAAUUUUCAGAAAUAGCUUCAUGCUAUAUCUUAUUCAGCUAGUUGUAUACUGCAAAGUGGUGAUACCUAUCCAGACGGCUUGUACAAUUACUGGAACAAUGCAAAAAUAUUAAGCCACUUUAAAUAAUUUUAGAUUGCAAUUUCAGUUACAUAUCAGCGUUCUGCAUAUCUUUAAGAGUACGUAUGCCAAAUUUCGUCAGUAUAGGACAAUUAUAAGUGCAUAAGGUUAUUCUCAUGCUAUUGUGAGAAAAUGUUUUUGAAGGAUAUUCAAUAAUUUUUUCCAAUAGCAUGAGAAGUAUGCAAUAUUAGUAGGCAGGCCUGUCUGCCUGCCUGCUAAUCUUGCAUACUUCUAGUACCUUUACCUGCUGUUUGAAUAGAUAUCGGCACUUUGCAGUCUACAAAGAGCUGUGUUAGCUACAGCACACUGCUUUUUGUGAAAAUUUAGUACACAAGAAAGUGCCCGCAAAGAUCACUGUAUUUUCCCAUUGUGUAGGACAUAACUCAAGAAGCAGCUAAAAAAUUACUAAUGACAUAUAUGAAAUCUGCAUGAACUCUACAAUUUGCUCUCUUUUCAAACCUGUAGUAGAAAUAAUAAAACUGUUUCGAGUAAUAUUCAAUCAGCAAAACAUGCCCCUUGCUAUAGUGACCUACAACAUAGCGACGCAAAGUUGAAGGCAAAUCCUUUUGUCGAAGCGACUCUUGGCUUUCUUCCCAGGGACUGCUGUUAAACACCGAAUUUUUCUGCAUUUGCCAGAAGUGCAAUACUAAAACGUUUGUAAAUGUGCAAUUGGUAUUGGCGCACCAACAAAAAAAAAAAACAGUUCUGUGAAAUGCAUAAUCGACUAUAACUUUGUUCGACAUUUACAUUCUGACUCCACAUCUUUGUUUUGUUUUAUGUACUGAGUGUUUCAGCAGUGACUGCCGCUAAAAAUUGAAGAUGACUGUUUCAUGACAAUGCGACAAUUUUCUCUAACAUAAGUUUAUAGCAGUGGCAGGCAUUAUAAUUACAGUAGUCAAUAACGUCUAGUUUGUAAGAACUCAGACUAGCACCAGUUCUGAGAUACACAACCCAAAAAAGCAAUGAUGAAAUAGGUCUAUCUUCCACAUAGAAUUGUCCCACAAGGCUUACAAAAUGUUUUGUUGCAAAGUAAUAUCUGUAACAGCAAGGCAUGUUCCACCAAGUAUGGCGAUAAAUAUUUCAGAGCUGUCAGUCUGAGGACUCCUACAAACUAACAAUACCUUCAGCACUGACUAGCCUCAAUAAUGGGAUGUCAGCCAUACUGCUGAAAUUAAUAAAACUUCAAUUAUUGUGAUCUUGUUUAAGAAGAAAUUUGCAAUUAUGUUGCAGUUCUAAUCUCUGUCACUUUUGUAAAUAUUUUCCAAUUAUUUUUUCAGACUAGAAUUUUUGGUAACAGAGGUAUUCAUUUACAGAGAGCUAGUGCAUGGCAUUUUAUAAUAAACAUACUGGUCAUUGUAGACUUCCUGUCUUCAGCAUUUGUUCUGUUGCACAGCUGUUUCUUGAAAUAUGAAAUGAUGUGCCCGCCUCCUUAUGGUAGCAAGAAACAGGGAAAUCUGUCAUUAUGUUUUGUUUAAAAUACAGCUGAUCAACCCGAUAGUUAGGCUGUUUGCUAAUUAUAAAUUAUAACGAUAAUAGUGCAGGACCAUAAAAACAGAUUGAUGCUGACUCACAACUAUGCCCAGCUACAUCCACGCAGCUGUGCAUUACAAUGUGCAUGUGUUCAGAAGAGCCAAAUGCCCCAGAGAGAAAGAAACAGUAACUGAUUGUUUGUCAUCUUGUACAAGCAGAUUACGGGCUAGGUGUAAUUUAUGCUCAGUAAAUGCAUAAAUCAGUCAUGUGAGGUGUCUUACUUUAGGUUGAAAGUUCGAAGUUCUUGUAAUCUUGCUUGUUCUUAUUUUGUUGCCUUUGUGAGCAUGGGUGACUUGGUUGCCUUCGCACAUAUUCUCAAAACUGUUUCUUCAUCACUGGGAAUCACGAAAUUUAAUUUACAUAUAAAAUUCUCAGUUAACAAUUUGGUAGGCUUCGAGCUUAAUGCUCUUAUCUUUUAUAUGUUUAUCUACCAAGUAGUCUUAUCGUUCAUUGAAACAUAUCCACGCAAUGCACAGUGGGCACCCAAAUUAUUAAUAUCGGUUCUUGCUUUCUACCCUGCUCUGGUGUUUUCUAAACCUAGCAUUGGUUCAAUGGCCUGUCUGCACCUUCAGAAAAGUAUCAAAGUGGCUAAAGUUAAAGGUAAACAACAUGAUAAAGAGACACAGCAAAAAUAUAAGUUCGCAAUUGUCCCCCAUAACCAGAGUUCUGCUUAGAAAAAAAAUUGUCAUCCUGCUGUGGUGUGAGAGUUGCUUUGGGCACCAAGGGGACUACGUAGCACCUGUGCUAGUGUACACAACAAAGCAAAAAAAAAUCACUCCAGAUUGGAGCGGCAGUGGAAAGUUAAGCACAGAUGUUUUAUUUCACGCACCAUUAAUGUGGCUUAUCAUCUGCUCCUGUUGUGUGGGAACACAUACAUUUGGAAGACAAUCUUUCGUGCCAUUGUUACCUUAGCGGGACACCAGAGAAAGGUAGAAAUCGAGAACAGGUAUUCACACUUGGUUGCCCGCAGUGUAUUAUCCGGAUGUGUUUCACUCUACAAAAGACUACUGUGGUAGAUAAUCAUAAUGAAAAAGAAAAAAGAAUUAAAAGAGGUAUGUGUCAGUCAUCUGUCCGUGACCUCCAGUGUUUAUAGAAACACUUCUUUUUGUAUAUGUGCCGAGCCUUAGGGAGGCCUUACGUAACUCAGUCAUGCUUGCUAAGUUAAAGAUUGGAAUAAGGACAAUCACAAGAACAUUCCAUGAGUGAUUUGUAAAUGUGGCACCUAAUGUAACUUAUUGAUGUAUGUCCUGAGGAUAGAUUACAGCCAGUGCAUAAUGUGCUCUUACAGGAUGACUUGUGAUGAGUAAAAGAAGCCUUCCUCACAUCUUCCUCUUUGUUUCUUUUGGAUCUUUGUACACUAUGGUGUAGUGUUACAGCUGCGUGCAUGCAGCUGGGUAUAGUUUCUUUAUGUGUUCUGCUUCCUCCCUUGUCCUCAUCAUUCAUGCGCUAUCUUUGCCGUAACAAAAUACAGCUACCUGUGCUACUUAUUUUGUCAACGUGUUUGCAUUAUGGAAAGUUUUGUAUUAGCGGUUAUUUCUACCUGUGAAAUUGUCUGUGUCAGCUAUUAGACUUAUCUUGGAAAAGUAGGUUUGUCAACAUAAAUAAAUGAUCAGUAUAAGUGUUGCUCUCUUUUUGUAAUUUUGUCAGUUAUGAAGUUUUUCUACACUGUUGCAUGUGGUAUGACAGAAUAAAAUUGAUGCACAACUUUUUAA